AAUCAACGCUGGCGGCGUGCCUAACACAUGCAAGUCGAACGCGGUUACCCCGCAAGGGGUGACUGAGUGGCAAACGGGUGAGUAACGCGUGGGUGACCUACCUUCGAGUGGGGGAUAACGUUUCGAAAGGAACGCUAAUACCGCAUGACAUCCUGCCUUUGGACAGGUGGAGAUCAAAGCCGGGGAUCGCAAGACCUGGC
rnacentral:rRNA from 1 species